CCCCUCCCACGUGCCCGCUAUUCAGCUGCCUGCAAGAUUCAUCUUUGUCGUGACAGAGUGGAUGAAGCCAAAGGACUCGAGUGGUGACCAGGAAGUGACAUCCCCCCCUCCCGCAUGUUCGUGUUUCUGCUGCCUUCAAGGUUCUUCUUUGUCCAGGCCGAAUUGAUCAAGCUGAAAGCGAACACCAGUGAGUCUACUAGUUGACGGAUGACAUCGGAUCUCUUCAGCAAUCCAGUGCA